rnacentral:rRNA from 1 species
CGGGUGACGAGAGGCGGACGGGUGAGUAAUGUCUGGGAAACUGCCUGAUGGAGGGGGAUAACUACUGGAAACGGUAGCUAAUACCGCAUAACGUCGCAAGACCAAAGAGGGGGACCUUCGGGCCUCUUGCCAUCAGAUGUGCCCAGAUGGGAUUAGCUAGUAGGUGGGGUAACGGCUCACCUAGGCGACGAUCCCUAGCUGGUCUGAGAGGAUGACCAGCCACACUGGAACUGAGACACGGUCCAGACUCCUACGGGAGGCAGCAGUGGGGAAUAUUGCACAAUGGGCGCAAGCCUGAUGCAGCCAUGCCGCGUGUAUGAAGAAGGCCUUCGGGUUGUAAAGUACUUUCAGCGGGGAGGAAGGUGUUGAGGUUAAUAACCUUGUCAAUUGACGUUACCCGCAGAAGAGGCACCGGCUAACUCCGUGCCAGCAGCCGCGGUAAUACGGAGGGUGCAAGCGUUAAUCGGAAUUACUGGGCGUAAAGCGCACGCAGGCGGUCUGUCAAGUCGGAUGUGAAAUCCCCGGGCUCAACCUGGGAACUGCAUUCAAACUGGCAGGGCUAGAGUCUUGUAGAGGGGGGUAGAAUUCCAGGUGUAGCGGUGAAAUGCGUAGAGAUCUGGAGGGAUACCGGUGGCUAAGGCGGCCCCCCUGUACAAAGACUGA